GCCAACAGCCAUACUACGCUGAAUGCACCGGUUCUCGUCCGAUCACCGAAGUUAAGCAGCGUUAGGCGAGGUUAGUACUUGGAUGGGUAUUUCAAACGCACCAACAGUAUGUC
rnacentral:rRNA from 1 species